rnacentral:lncRNA from 1 species
UGACUACUCACAUCCUUCCUUGACCUACCUUGCUUAAGAGCAGUGGUUUCAUUUGUCCUUCUCUGGUGUGCCAGAGAAUUCUCAGGCCUCAUUUGGAAUUUCCCCAAAGAUCUCUUAUGAACUAAAUGAUUGGCUGAGACAACUUAUAAAAAUGGGUAGGUUUAUUUUACCUCAUUUGGUACACAUUUGGUAACAGCAUGCUGUUACCAAAGGUGACAGUUUUCUUUCUAUGUGGCAAUAGGGAAAUUUGCUGGGGCAUCUCAGGAUAACAACCUAAAGCUGAAGGCCUGAUCUCACUUUGUUCCCUUCGCAUUUUCAAUUCAUGAAAGAGAGCAUUUGAUGAAGCUGUUUGGAGCAAAUUGGUGUGAGUCAUCUCUUUUUGCCUUGUUUGCACCAGCCAUCUCGGAGGUGUCUGGACUGCUUCAGGUCCAGCCUAUGUAGGUUUCUUCUCCCUUAUGCACACCUCCUGCUAUAAUCUGAUGUGGUUAGAGUGGGAAGCAGCUGACUCUGCCUUCCUAAGACGCUGAGAAAAACUGAGACAGAAAAAAGCAUUCAGGAUAUAGGCAUUCCUCAAAAGCUACCUUCCAUUAGAGCUACCUGCCAAAUUUUGGAUGGCAGCACCCCAAGAUGAAAGGAGCUUGGAUCCCCAAGUCAUUAUUUGGAGGAGAGCCUCUGCAAAGAACUGCCUGCUGUGCACUGGACUGUGAGACCCCCAAGAGCAAGCUGCACCUUUGCCUGCUUCCUGUUGACUCUGAAUGAGGAGAAGGUUGCUCAAGCACGCACUCCCACUAGUGAAGCUCAGCAGAGAGCUGGUGAUUGGGGACUUAAUGAGAUGGCACCUGUGAAACCCAAGUACAUGCAUGAAAGCUUAUUGCUAUUUUGGUUUUUGUAAGAUUGAAAGUCAGGGGCACUCAGCAUGGUCAUAUUUAUCAAGCAGAAAGACAUAAUUCUCUUGUGUAUUAGAAGUAAAGGUCCCAUUCAAAGCGCAUGUGUAUUUCUAUCUCUCCAGGCAUGCUGGGGCCCGUUAGACCAAAUACCACGUGGAUGGUCUCAGCAGACAGAAAAACUCCACGGAGUUCUAUCUGGGUAGAGGAAGGCCAUCAAAGGGAGAUAUUGUCCAGGGCCUGAAAGUGGCACCAAAAAAAGAAAGGGUGGAUCUUCACACAGGAUGGGUGGAGGGGAAAGGAGGGAAGCUAUUUAGCUAGAAACAAAACAAACCCACCCAGAAUGAAAUUGCACAAUAAAAGGAGGAACAGAGAGUUCACAGUGCCAAUUCGAGAAUAAGUUCAAUGCAUAUUCUAGCAAAUUAGUAAAUAAAACAGGAUGAAAUAGUGGAUCAAGAAGGAUUAUUAAUGAAAAGAACCAUGACUUUGGGUUGCUAGGCUCCAGCUUGAGAGUCGCCAGCAGGACUAGAUAUGUCUGGUUAAGGUGGGUGGAAGCUGUCUCCAUGUUCACAGUCAUGUCUGCAAAAAUAGAAUUGGGAUGAUGAGAAAAGCCUG